rnacentral:rRNA from 1 species
AAUUUGGGUUGAUCCUGCCGGACCUGACUGCUAUCGGAUUGAUACUAAGCCAUGCGAGUCAUUGUAGUAAUACAAGGCAGACGGCUCAGUAACGCGUAGUCAACCUAACCUAUGGACGGGAAUAACCUCGGGAAACUGAGUAUAAUGCCCGAUAGAACAUUAUGCCUGGAAUGGUUUAUGUUCCAAAUGAUUUAUCGCCGUAGGAUGGGACUGCGGCCUAUCAGUUUGUUGGUGAGGUAAUGGCCCACCAAGACUAUUACAGGUACGGGCUCUGAGAGGAGUAGCCCGGAGAUGGGUACUGAGACACGGACCCAGGCCCUAUGGGGCGCAGCAGGCGAGAAAACUUUGCAAUGUGCGAAAGCACGACAAGGUUAAUCCGAGUGGUUUCUGCUAAAGGAACCUUUUGUUAGUCCUAGAAACACUA